GAUGAACGCUGGCGGCGUGCCUAAUACAUGCAAGUCGAGCGAACGGACGAGAAGCUUGCUUCUCUGAUGUUAGCGGCGGACGGGUGAGUAACACGUGGAUAACCUACCUAUAAGACUGGGAUAACUUCGGGAAACCGGAGCUUAUACCGGAUAAUAUUUUGAACCGCAUGGUUCAAAAGUGAAAGACGGUCUUGCUGUCACUUAUCGAUGGAUCCGCGCUGCAUUAGCUAGUUGGUAAGGUAACGGCUUACCAAGGCAACGAUGCAUAGCCGACCUGAGAGGGUGAUCGGCCACACGGGAACUGAGACACGGUCCAGACUCCUACGGGAGGCAGCAGUAGGGAAUCUUCCGCAAUGGGCGAAAGCCUGACGGAGCAACGCCGCGUGAGUGAUGAAGGUCUUCGGAUCGUAAAACUCUGUUAUUAGGGAAGAACAGAUGUGUAAGUAACUGUGCACAUCUUGACGGUACCUAAUCAGAAAGCCACGGCUAACUACGUG
rnacentral:rRNA from 1 species